CGUUAUUUAUGUAUUUUUAUUUUAAUAAGUUAUACAAAAUAUAAUUAAAUUUUUUUUCUGGACGUAAAUUUACCUAUGUUUACGAAAUAUUAAAUAAAAUAUAAAAUUUCUUAAGUAUAUGUAAUACAUAUUUUAUAUAAAAACAAGUGUUUAAUUAAAAAGUUUUUUUGGAACCUACGGUAAAAUGCAAUGUGCUCGAUUACGUGAAGGGAAAUAUUUCUAUGUUGGCCUGAAAAAAACUGAGAGAGAUGAGAUAACGCUGUAAAAAAAGGAAAUGUCUCGACCAUUAGUUUAUCGGAUCGAUCCAAUUGUUCGACAUCAUCGAUUCAUCGAUAAAAGCAUGUGUCCUAUAAUUCGUAUGGAUCUUAAUGGCAUUAAGCUGAGCACAUAGAAGAAAUAGGAUUGAAUUUUAACAUUACUGUAUUCAUAUGCACACAUAAAUUAAUAUGAACAUAGAAAAUCCAUGAUCAAUUAAAAAAAAAGAUCGCGUACACCUAAUAUCAACGAUACUACCGACCAACCAUACAAGCCUUGUCCUCUCACUGUCGGUUCGAUGAGCUUUUGAGUACGGACACGUCAUGUAAACUAGGGCUGUGGAACGGUUGGCAGACAUAAUUCGCAUCGUCCACCGUUUUGACACUACCGUCGCUGACCGCUGUUGGAACGUCAACAAAUAUUCCUCUAUAUACACGCUUGGUGAACUGCGAUGUACAUAUAUUACACAAUUAUAUGUGAGAUAAUAAUAUAUGAUUUAUGAUCCAAUAACAUACUACAUAACAAUCAAUAAUGUUUCAUUGUUCAUCUCAAGUAAUUAAUGAAUCAUGGAGACAAUCGCGG